rnacentral:tRNA from 1 species
UCCCCGAUAGCUCAGCGGUAGAGCGGGCGGCUGUUAACCGCUAGGUCGCAGGUUCGAAUCCUGCUCGGGGAGCCA